GCCAGGCAUGGAGGUGCAUACCUGUAAUCUCAGCAACUUGGGAGGCAGGAGUAUCUCAAGUUUGAGGCCAGCAACUUAGCAAGAUUCUCAUCAAUUUACAGAGACACUCUUU
rnacentral:sRNA from 1 species